rnacentral:misc_RNA from 1 species
AAGUCGUAACAAGGUUUCCGUAGGUGAACCUGCGGAAGGAUCAUUAACGUAUCUAAGGUGUUCGGCUGACGCCCUGCUCCGACCGAAAGGCCGUGCAGCGGGCUGACGCCGACGCCCAACCUUCACAAACCCACUGUGCACCUUCACGGCAGAGGCCGUCGGGCGAGAGCCUGGCGACCGAAGCCGUCUCUACAAACACUAGUCAAAAGAAUGUCAAAGCGACUCUGUCGCCCAUUAAACAUAACAACUUUCAACAACGGAUCUCUUGGCUCUC